AACGAACGCUGGCGGCAUGCCUAACACAUGCAAGUCGAACGAACCCUUCGGGGUUAGUGGCGCACGGGUGCGUAACGCGUGGGAAUCUGCCCUUGGCUUCGGAAUAACAGUUAGAAAUGACUGCUAAUACCGGAUGAUGUCUUCGGACCAAAGAUUUAUCGGCCAGGGAAGAGCCCGCGUAGGAUUAGGUCGUUGGUGGGGUAAAGGCCUACCACGCCGACGAGCCUUAGCUGGUCUGAGAGGAUGAUCAGCCACACUGGGACUGAGACACGGCCCAGACUCCUACGGGAGGCAGCAGUGGGGAAUAUUGGACAAUGGGCGCAAGCCUGAUCCAGCAAUGCCGCGUGAGUGAUGAAGGCCUUAGGGUCGUAAAGCUCUUUUACCCGGGAUGAUAAUGACAGUACCGGGAGAAUAAGCUCCGGCUAACUCCGUGCCAGCAGCCGCUGUAA
rnacentral:rRNA from 1 species